GCGAGUCGAGAGGGUUCGGCCCUCGGCAGACGGCUCAGUAACACGUGGAUAAUCUGCCCUUAGGUGGAGGAUAACCUCGGGAAACUGAGAAUAAUACUCCAUAGAUCUAGGAUGCUGGAAUGCACUUAGAUUGAAAGUUCCGGCGCCUAAGGAUGAGUCUGCGGACUAUCAGGUAGUAGUCAGGGUAAAGACCUGACUAGCCUACGACGGAUACGGGUUGUGAGAGCAAUAACCCGGAGACGAUAUCUGAGACACGAUAUCGGGCCCUACGGGGCGCAGCAGGCGCGAAACCUUCACAAUGUGCGAAAGCGCGAUGAGGGGAUCCCAAGUGCUUGCUCGUAAGAGUAAGCUGUUUUUAUGUCUAAAACGCAUAGAGAGUAAGGGCUGGGUAAGACGGGUGCCAGCCGCCGCGGUAAUACCUGCAGCUCAAGUGGUGACCACUAUUAUUGGGCCUAAAACAUUCGUAGCCGGUUUGGUAAAUGCCUGGGUAAAUCGUGUAGCUUAACUAUACGAAUUCCGGGUAGACUGCCAAACUUGAGACCGGGAGAAGCUAGAGGUACUCCUUGGGUAGAGGUGAAAUUCUGUAAUCCUAGGGGGACCACCAGUGGCGAAGGCGUCUAGCUAGAACGGGUUUGACGGUGAGGAAUGAAGCCCUGGGGCGCAAACCGGAUUAGAUACCCGGGUAGUCCAGGGUGUAAACGCUGCUUGCUUGAUGUUAGUUGGGCUCCGAGCCCAAUUAGUG
rnacentral:rRNA from 1 species